rnacentral:lncRNA from 1 species
CCUCUUCCUUUUGGUCAAUGAAAGAAGGUGGAGUGAAGAAAGGUGAGAGUAAGGAGAGGAAAUAUAAGAUGUUUUUGUUCUGAUUUCAGGUAUAGAGGAACCUAGGGACAGAGGGACUCCAGAUUUUUAGCCAUGUGGAUACCUAGACCGAGGAAACCUCUUGCUGGAAUUUGGUUCCUUUUUGAUGUGGAAGGAGCCCAUAAUUCCCAGCUCUCUGGGGGUGUGGGAAGGCAGCUGACCUGUGAGUCAGUGGGCCAGUCAUGCAUCUAUCAUAGCAGGGGGCAGAGCUGGAGGUGGGUUCCCUAAGCUCGGGGACUCAAUAGAGGAAGUGACAGGUAUUGAGGGAGU